rnacentral:rRNA from 1 species
GUCAGCAGUCAUGCCACCUGCAGUUGAGACUAGGAAAUCCAUCUGACGCUAAGCAGGUUUGGGCCUGCCCAGUACUUGGAUAGGAGACCGACUGGGAAUGCUGGGUUGCUGCUGGAG